rnacentral:rRNA from 1 species
GUCCACGCCGUAAACGAUGAUUGCUAGCCGUUGGGCAGCUUGCUGUUCAGUGGCGCAGCUAACGCAUUAAGCAAUCCGCCUGGGGAGUACGGCCGCAAGGUUGAAACUCAAAGGAAUUGACGGGGGCCCGCACAAGCGGUGGAGCAUGUGGUUUAAUUCGACGCAACGCGCAGAACCUUACCAGGGUUUGACAUCCUGCGACCGCCUCCUAAUAGGGGUUUUCCCGCAAGGGACGCAGAGACAGGUGCUGCAUGGCUGUCGU